rnacentral:rRNA from 1 species
UACAGAGGUCUCAAGCGUUGUUCGGAUUCAUUGGGCGUAAAGGGUGCGUAGGCGGCGCGGUAAGUCGGGGUGUGAAAUCUCGGAGCUUAACUCCGAAACUGCAUUCGAUACUGCCGUGCUUGAGGACUGGAGAGGAGACUGGAAUUUACGGUGUAGCGGUGAAAUGCGUAGAUAUCGUAAGGAAGACCAGUGGCGAAGGCGGGUCUCUGGACAGUUCCUGACGCUGAGGCACGAAGGCCAGGGGGAGCAAAACGGG